rnacentral:rRNA from 1 species
GACAGAGGUGGCGAGCGUUGUUCGGAAUUAUUGGGCUUAAAGCGUGUGCAGGCGGCGGCGUAAGUGUCGAGUGAAAGCCCGCAGCUCAACUGCGGAACGGCUCGGCAUACUGCGUCGCUUGAGGUCGGUAGAGGUGCUUGGAACUCUAGGUGGAGCGGUGAAAUGCGUAGAUAUCUAGAGGAACGCCUGAGGCGAAAGCGGAGCACUGGGCCGAUUCUGACGCUGAGACACGAAAGCGUGGGGAGCAAACAGGAUUAGAUACCCUGGUAGUCCACGCCGUAAACGAUGCACACUAGAUGACGGGUUCUCUGAUGUUCCCGCCGUCGUAGCAAAAGUGCUAAGUGUGCCGCCUGGGGAGUACGGCCGCAAGGCUAAA